rnacentral:rRNA from 1 species
CCUACGGGAGGCAGCAGUGGGGAAUUUUGGACAAUGGGCGCAAGCCUGAUCCAGCCAUGCCGCGUGCAGGAUGAAGGCCUUCGGGUUGUAAACUGCUUUUGUACGGAACGAAAAGACUCUGGUUAAUACCUGGGGUCCAUGACGGUACCGUAAGAAUAAGCACCGGCUAGCUACGUGCCAGCAGCCGCGGUAAUACGUAGGGUGCGAGCGUUAAUCGGAAUUACUGGGCGUAAAGCGUGCGCAGGCGGUUAUAUAAGACAGAUGUGAAAUCCCCGGGCUCAACCUGGGAACUGCAUUUGUGACUGUAUAGCUAGAGUACGGCAGAGGGGGAUGGAAUUCCGCGUGUAGCAGUGAAAUGCGUAGAUAUGCGGAGGAACACCGAUGGCGAAGGCAAUCCCCUGGGCCUGUACUGACGCUCAUGCACGAAAGCGUGGGGAGCAAACAGGAUUAGAUACCCUGGUAGUCCACGCCCUAAACGAUGUCAACUGGUUGUUGGGUCUUCACUGACUCAGUAACGAAGCUAACGCGUGAAGUUCGACCGCCGUGGGGUAGGUACGGCCGGCGAGGUUAGUAAACGUACGAAACGAAAGUUAGUACGGCGUGAGACGUAGACCGACGGACGACGACGAGGGGAGGAGGG